rnacentral:rRNA from 1 species
CAAUAAGCGGAGGAAAAGAAACCAACAGGGAUUGCCCCAGUAACGGCGAGUGAAGCGGCAACAGCUCAAAUUUGAAAUCUGGCUCCCCCCUGGGGGGUCCGAGUUGUAAUUUGGAGAGGAUGCUUUGGGCGCGGCGCCUUCCGAGUGCCUUGGAACAGGACGCCGGAGAGGGUGAGAGCCCCGUACGGUAGGACGCCUAGCCCGUGUAAAGCUCCUUCGACGAGUCGAGUAGUUUGGGAAUGCUGCUCAAAAUGGGAGGUAAAUUUCUUCUAAAGCUAAAUACUGGCCAGAGACCGAUAGCGCACAAGUAGAGUGAUCGAAAGAUGAAAAGCACUUUGAAAAGAGGGUUAAACAGCACGUGAAAUUGUUGAAAGGGAAGCGCCUGUGGCCAGACGUGCGCCCCGCGGACCACCCGCCGCUCUGCGGCGGGGCACUCCGCGGCGGCGCAGGCCAGCAUCGGCUCUCCGAGGGGGACAAAGGUCGCGGGAACGUAGCUCUUUCGGGAGUGUUAUAGCCCGCGGCGCCAUGCCCCUGGGGGGGCCGAGG